rnacentral:rRNA from 1 species
AUUGAACGCUGGCGGCAUGCCUAACACAUGCAAGUCGAACGAGUGGCGGACGGGUGAGUAAUGCGUGGGAAACUUCCUGUUGGAGGGGGAUAAAUAUUGGGAACGGCAUCUUAAUACGCAUACCCUCAGUUGUACCUAUAAGGGAUUGGCUAGUUGGGGGCGUAACGGCUCACCAAGGCGACGAUCCCUAGCCGGUCGGAGAGGAUGACCAGCCACACUGGAACUGAGACACGGUCCAGACUCCUACGGGAGGCAGCAGUGGGGAAUAUUGCGCAAUGGGCGAAAGCCUGAUGCAGCCAUGCCGCGUGUAUGAAGAAGGCUUUAGGGUUGUAAAGUACUUUUGGCGGGGAGGCGUUACCCGCAGAAAAAGCCCCGGCUAACUACGUGCCAGCAGCCGCGGUAAUAC